CAUGUAGGCGGUCUGCUAAGUUCGGAGUGACAGUCACCAGCUUAACUGGUGAAGUGCUUUGAAAACUGGCUGACUUGAGAGCGAGAGAGGGACACGGAAUUCCGGGUGGAGCAGUGAAAUGCGUAGAGAUCCGGAGGAACACCAAAGGCGAAGGCAGUGUCCUGGCUCGUUUCUGACGCUGAGGUGCGAAAGCCAGGGGAGCGAACGGGAUUAGAUACCCCGGUAGUCCUGGCCGUAAACGAUGACCACCAGGCGUGGGAGGGAUCGACCCCUUCCGUGCCGUAGUCAACACGUUAAGUGGUCCGCCUGGGGAGUACGGUCGCAAGACUAAA
rnacentral:rRNA from 1 species